rnacentral:rRNA from 1 species
AUUGAACGCUGGCGGAAUGCUUUACACAUGCAAGUCGAGCGGCAGCACGGGGGCAACCCUGGUGGCGAGCGGCGAACGGGUGAGUAAUACAUCGGAACAUGCCCAGUCGUGGGGGAUAACACUUCGAAAGAAGUGCUAAUACCGCAUACGUCCUGAGGGGGAAAGCGGGGGAUCGCAAGACCUCGCGCGAUUGGAGUGGCCGAUGUCAGAUUAGCUAGUUGGUGGGGUAAAGGCCUACCAAGGCAACGAUCUGUAGCUGGUCUGAGAGGAUGAUCAGCCACACUGGGACUGAGACACGGCCCAGACUCCUACGGGAGGCAGCAGUGGGGAAUUUUGGACAAUGGGGGCAACCCUGAUCCAGCCAUUCCGCGUGAGUGAAGAAGGCCUUCGGGUUGUAAAGCUCUUUCGGCAGGAACGAAACGGUGCGCUCUAACAUAGCGUGCUAAUGACGGUACCUGAAGAAGAAGCACCGGCUAACUACGUG